UACGAAGGGUGCAAGCGUUGUUCGGAUUUAUUGGGCGUAAAGCGCGCGUAGGCGGACCUGCAAGUCAGAUGUGAAAUCUCGGGGCUCAACCUCGAAACUGCGUCUGAAACUACAGGUCUAGAAUCUUGGAGGGGGAAGGGGAAUUUCUCAUGUAGGGGUAAAAUCCGUAGAUAUGAGAAGGAACACCAGAGGCGAAGGCGCCUUCCUGGACAAGUAUUGACGCUGAGGCGCGAAAGCGUGGGGAUCAAACAGG
rnacentral:rRNA from 2 species